AGGCAUCACCCAGCCAGUUUCCGUGCAGCUGGAAAGACGCACACCUCGGUGUGACUCAGGCCCUGCAGACAGCAUGAAAUCGCAGCCCGAGCCCCUACGUCGACAGGACAGCAGAGCUGCAGGUUAUCGGUGAAUAACCCGGGCGCAGCCAUCGUGCUCCUGUAUCUGUAGCGUGAAGUCCUGGAAGGGAGCAGUUGCUGACCCAAAGGCUGUCUUUGUUUCCUGUGGCUGCUUAGCCACGGGGUGACUUGAGGAAACACAGCCUUGCUCUCUCACUGUUCUGGAGGUCGGAAAUCCAGAAUCCGCUCCACUGGGCUAAAAUCAAGGCGUUGGCAGGUCAGGUUGAUUCUGCAGGCUCUAGAAGAAGCCGUUGCCUUGCCUUUCUGCAGCUUCUGGUGGCCACCUGCAUUCCUUGGCUUGCGGCCCCUCGGUCCAUUUUCCAAGGACGUUGCUCCGGUCACUGCUCUGUCAGCCCGUUGUCUUCUCGAGUCUGAUCUCCCGCCUCCCUCCUGUAAGGAUGCUUGUGAUUACGUCAGACCCACCUGGGUGACCUGGAAUAAUUUUAUCAUGUCCGGAUUCUCAGCUUAAAUGAAUCCACCACCCUUUUUGCCAGGGAAGGUAACAUUCACACACGCCAGGGGUUAGGAUGUGGACCCCACGAUUCAGCCUGCCUCAAAGCUUAAAUUGCCCUCCGUCGGGUUUGUGGCAAUUUACCUCCUCGCCACCAAUACAAGGGCCCACCCAUUCCCCAUACCUUAGCCAUACAGCUCUGUCAAAAUGAUCUUUGCAAAUUUGAUGACAGAAAAAAGUCAUACUCGGUGUGGUUUGAAUUCGCAUGUUUCUCACGAGUGAGAUAGAGAAUAUGUUUAUAUGUGCAAAAGCCAUCUGCAUUUCAUUUUUGGUAGACUGUAUUGUCACAUACUUUGCCUGCUUCUUUUGCGGGGUGGGGUGUGAGUAUGGGGCGUGUUGGCCUUUUCAGCCCUUUGAGUUGAAUUAGAGACGAAGACAUGAAAAGCCCAGAGACCUUCCAUAGCACACCCGAGGCCACGGGCAGGUGGAUGGCAGGCCCAGGACUGAAGCCGUCCUUGAUUUUCAACUUCAUCUGUUACAGUCUUACCACGUGGCAGCUAGGUGUAGCUGCUUCUCUGUCGAGCCGCACAUUAGGGAUAAUAAGCAAACGGCUAGUAUUGAUUGGGCUGUGCUUUUGCCAUUUUGUCCAGGAGCUUUUGUUUUCGCUUAUUUCCUUUUUACCCUCCUAGGUAUUACUAUCCCAUUUCACACACAGGGAAACCGAGGCUCAGAGGGACUUCGGAGCCUGGCUGCAGGCAUAUGACUGAUGAGUGCAAACCCAAGGCGGAAAGACAAUUCCUUCCCUCUGACCUCCACUUCAGCCCUUUCCCUGCUACUCUCCACUAUGAUUCCAGCGGCCCAUGUGAUCUCCCCAACCAGAGGAGAUUCCCUCGCCUUACCCAGCGGCCGCGGACUGUCAGGAGGAUGCUGUACAACGGAGACACAGCCGGUUUCGGUUUGAAACUUGGAGAGUUAAAAACUUGUGUCCAUACAAAAGCCUGCUCGUGGAUGUUUAUAGCAGCCUUAUUCAUAAUUGUCAAAGCGCGGAAGCAACCAGGAUGCCCUUCUGUAGGGGAGUGGGUAAAUAAGCCAUGGUGUGGUCCGUCCACACAAUGGAAUAGUAUUCAGCGCUAAAAGGAAAUGAGCUAUCAAGCCACAAAAGACAUGGAAAAGGUUGAAAUGCAUAUUAUUAAGUGAAAGAGGCCAAUCUGAAAAGGCCGCGUGCUGUAGGAUUCCAACUAUAGGACAUUCUGGAAAAAGCAAAACUAUGCAGACAGUAAAAAACAGAUCAGCAGUGGCCAGGGGUUGGGUCGCGGGGAGGGAUGAACAGGCAGAGCAUAGAGGACUCUCAGGGCAGUGAAACUAUUCCAUAUGAUACCAUCAUGAUGGCGUCGUUAUGCAUUUGCCCAAACCCUUGGAAUGUGCACCAACCACCAAGAAUGAGCCCGCAUGUUAACAACGGGCUUUGGGUGAUAAUGAUGUGUCAGUGUGGGUUCAUCGAUUGUAACAAAGGUACCAUCUGGUGAGGGAUGUUGAUAGUGGGAGAGGCUCUGUGUGUAGGAGAGAAGAGGGUCUUACAUGGCAAAUCUCCAUACCUUCUGCUCAGUAUUGCUGUGACUCUGAAUCUGCUCUAAAAGCUAAAGUCCAUUAAAAACAAAACAAAAACUUGGAGGAUGGGCUCCUGAAGAUGCCCAUCAGGGAAACUGAGGCCAGACUUGGACGGGCAGCUGGGAUCUGACCCCUGGUCUCCUGACCGUGGAGUCAUUGUUCCUUCCACUGUGCCUUCCUGCCAAGGAAAAUGUCAGUGUCAAUCCAUCCCUGACCUCCUGGUCACUCCCACCCAGAAUGGAAGCCAGCCAACUCUGACAUCCAUGGCCCAUACGAGCCACUGUCCCCGGGAACUCCUCCUUAAGCACUCUUACUGUUAAAGCAUGUUGGGGACCAUCAUCUCUUCAUUGCAGUAGUGUCCAUAGGCUUGAAUAAUGGCUGGAAUCUUGUGGGUUCAUUGGCUGGACAUUACGGGACGCCUGUGUUGUGCCGUGAGCAAAAGAAGGCUUUAUUCACACCGGCAUCUGGGCCAGAGGGGUCUGAAAAGCUCAAUUAUUCAGCAGAGCGUGAUGGAAAAAUAAAACCCUGAGUAGAUGUGUUUAAGGUCAUCCUUUGACUUCUUGGAAGGUGGGGAGCCAGGAGUCCCGACUCUCUCAUUGGCCUUAACUGUUGCUCGAGGCUCUCCAAUCUUAACUUUACCCCAAUAAAACAAAUGUAUAUAUAACUUUAUUUUCAUUAAAAGCUUCAUACCAAGAAGACAGCAUGACUCAUAUCUUUGAAUCGAUGUAAUUUUGGUUCAUAAAGUGGGAUUAAAACGGAGGGGCCAA